rnacentral:lncRNA from 1 species
UUAUUGUGUUAUUGAUAAAUAAUUGUAAUUUCAAAAUGGAUUUUCAUAUAAAAAUUCUGUAUGAAUAUUAUGUGAGUAUAUGUGUUAUGUGAUGAAGUGGUAGUGGUGAAUUUGUUUGUUAAUUAGUUAUGAUUAAUUAUUAAUAUUAUAUGAUUAAUAUAUGAAUUUUUGUGAAUUUUGUGUUAUCCAGUUUAUUGAGCUGACUGCUCAUAUGUGUUCGUAUCUGAGAGAUUUCAAUUUCUAUAUGCUCAGGAGAAAAUAUAGUUUAUUUGGAUAUUUUCAUAUCGAUUUAUGGAAUGUUAGAUGAUUUUAUAAUCGAUUUACGGAUUUAAUUGCGUAUAUUUAUAUUUAUUGAUUAAUUAUUUGACUUCCGUAAAACCGUCCACUCGUAACGAGGUAGCAAAUUUUCUUCCCGGAAGUUUCAACAAAACUGACCUUUAGCCUAAUUUGAAUAUUCCGGACACUUUUCGUGUUUUGACUUUUUCGAUCCGGAGUACGGUUUUCCCCGGAGUCGGUCCGGCGGAGUUUUUCGGGUAUUUUAAUUGUUGAUAAUUAUCCAGUUUGUCUCGAUAAGCGUGAAACGAGAUAUUUUGAUUAUUAUAUUCAUCCUUAUCUUGUAAUAAUUGCAAUGGGACCCGCAGACCAAUAAUUGAGUUAAAAAGCCCCGUUUUGAUGAUUAUCUCGAAAACCAGUACCGAUUGGACCCCGCUUUAUUAAUAUAAAGCUAUUAAAUACGUAUUUUCAUGUCAUAAACGAUCCAAAGGGGUACCAAUUAUUUGUAAAUAUAAAUAGACCUUUCUAGAGCUUAUUUUCACCCGUAAAAUCAUUUCACCAGUUUCUCUGCACGAAUACCGAGAGAAACCGAGCGGUGUUCUUCGUGUUCUUCAUAAUCAAACGAAGAUUUGAAGGUGUUAUUGGAGUCAGAAUCAAGCGUGCAAAUAGUCAAAUCGAAGAUAUCGAAGAGUAGAACCCAAAUCAAUCAUCAAAAACAACAUGAGAUUCACAGGUAGGGAGUAAUUGAAGUUUUAAAAUUCGAAUUAUUAUAAUUUUAAAGAUGAAUUUUUGUAAACGAUCUUGUUUGAUUGUUUUGAUGAUUCCAUGUUGUAGAGCGUGUUUUUCUCGUCGUUUUGGUAUAUUAUAUGUUGAAUUUGGGGUUCGGAAUCAUAUAGAAACAGUGGUUUAAUUCUUGAGUAGGUGUUCUUGAGUGUUCUUCGUGGGUUAUGAAUAUUUUCAAUUGAGAUUUGGGCGUUUCUUAUCUGUUAAUCACAUGAGCAAUCGGUUGAUAUGGUUGGAUAGAGCGUGAAGAGAGGAACUUGUGGGUAUGUUCAAAAGUUAUGUGGGAUUCCCGGAAAGGGGUCACCGGAGUUUCGAAAGAAACUCGCCGGCGGGUUUUUGCUUCGAUUUUCCGGCCAUUCUUUGCGACGAUUGGUGAUUCUGAUCAAGUGUGUAGGUUCCUGGUGAUCGGUAGUCGAGUUAUGCGUAGUUUGGUGGCCGCCCGAGGCCUGUUUAGCCGAUUCCGGCGAGUCAGGGGUGCCAACGGCGACAAAGUGCCGUUUGGUCACCCAACUUAUGAAGAUGAUGAAGUUAUUGUAUUCGAGUUUUGAAAAUUACAAAUUACCCCCUGGAACUUUUGGAAAGUUACACUUUAAACCCUGGGCCAAAACUUUCAAAAGUUUACAAAAUAAACCUUUUGAUUUAAUUUUCUAAAAUUGUUUUAUUUAAUUAUUUUAAAUUCCAAAAAUAGUUUUUAAUUAUUUCUUUAUUCAAAAAUAAAUCUAAAUUAGUUUGUUAAUUAAUUUUAAUUAGUAAUUAAUUAUUUUAAUUGGUCAAUUAAUUUAAAUAUUAAUUGAUUAAUUAUUUUAAUUAAUUAUUAAUUGAUUUUAAUUGAUUAAUUAAUUGGAUUUAAUUAAUCCUUUUUGAUUUAAAAAUUCCGAAAAAUAGUUUCGAGCUUUAAAAUAUUUUUACAAAUUAUUUUCAAGGCUCGAUAAUUGUUUAUGAAUGAUUUCAAGUCCAAUUUCAAGUAUUUGGGAUUUGAUUAUUUAUUCGAAAAGUGAUUCUUUUAUCGAUUUUAAUUCCGAAAAAUGUUUAAAAAUUCCAGAAAAUUCCCGAAAAAUCAUUUUAAACCCAGGAAGUGAUUUGACAUCAAUUGGGAUGGGAGACUUAAUGUGUAAUGUGUUGUCUGCUAUUGGUUGGAUGUCUUAUGUGUCGAUAUAAUAGUGAGAAAACGGUUUUAAACAUAUCUUUUGAUCCGUAAGUCGGAAUCGAGUGAAACGGAAGAGAGAUGAAAGCUUAUAAAGUCUAGUUUGAUAUGACAUAAUAAUAUGAUGGAGUCGAGAAUGUGAAUAAUUGUUGAUUAAUGUGCACAAUGUGAUUAUAUGUUAUUUGAUUGCUAUUAAUUGAUGAGUACGUGAUAUAUAUGUCUAUUCCUGAUAUUAUAUAUGUGAUAAAUGACUUAUAUGACAUAGUGUCAUGAUUUGAUUAAUAUUGGAUAAGAACAUAUGGAUUAUGGUGAUUGGAUUUGGUUGGUUGAUUGUUGAUGGAGAUAGGAUAACAUGUGGAUAGUCUAAUAAAUAGACGAGAUGCUGUCAAAUUUUCGAUAGGACUUAUAUGAUAAGUGAUUUGUGAUAUGUUAUGUGGAAUAUGACUUGACUAUAUGGUAGAGUCAAAGCAUGAUUACGUGUUAAGUGAUAUGUGAUAAGUUUAAAGGGGUAUAUAAGUGGGUAUCGAUAUGCGUGAUAUGUAUAUACGAUCGAUUGAUUAGUGAUUAUAUUAUUAUCUUAUUCUCGUUAAGGAUUGGACGAGACGUGGAUGACCGAAGACGUUCAGAAGGACAAGUGGUGUUCCAAAGCGAAUAAAGAAUGAGUCGAGUAAGCGAAGUGCUGUGGCGAAUAGAGUAUAGCUAGAGAUGGUCUAGAGAUUAUAAGAUGCAUAUAUUGUGAAAGUGGAAAGUUGAGAAUGAGCUGUGAGACGGGAGUCAGAUUUAAGGCAAGUAUCCUAUACCCUUCUUUUGGAUAUCUUGCGAUUAUUCUGAUCCAUUAUUCUCGUAUGUGUUGCAAAUAUUCGUUCCUCUCUUUUUCAUAUUUGGCAAGUGCAAAUAUUUUUAUCCAUCCUUUUCUAAUCCUCAAAAAUUCAGAUAAUUCCAGUUUUACAAAUUAAUUCGAAGUUCAGAUUGUCAUUGAAGCAUGUGUUGCUCAGUGAUGAUUAGAACCUAGAAUGACUUGGGAUCUUCUUGAUUAUUCAACCCGCCAUUGUCAUGCUGGUUUAGCAGGCUAAAUUCAGUUGCUUAGCCGAUAAUGGAGGAUACUGAAUAGUUAAGGAUUUCCUGAACUAUGAUUUAUGGAAGGAUGGACUCUGGUUUAUGAAAAGUUGAUUAUCAAAGUUUGAUUUGGAAUUAUUCUAUCAUGGAUAUUGAUUGUGUUUAUGUUCUGUUGUUAUACGUUGACCUGUUAUUGAAUUAUAGAAUUGGAUUAUUGUUUUUAUAUAAACCUGUGGACCAGAUUCGUGGUCAUGUUAGGCCAAUGAGUGCCUUGGAUCCAGUGAUAGAGCAUGGCGGGGCCUGCUCGGGGUUAGUGCGGAACUGAUCAGCUGCCUAACCUUGGUUUUAAUUAAAAUGUGAUAGUCCAAUUCAAUAAUUCUUUGGAAAGAUUGAAUUUCUCAGUUUAAAUGAUGCAAGGUAUUGUAAAUCAUUCUAUACAAUACCAUGAACUCAUGAACUCAGGUUGAAUUCUCUUAUAUCUUGAACUCGUGAACUUCUGUUAUAUCAUUUCAGAACUAUCAUUGUUUAUUAUUACUUGCUGAGCAUUGUUGCUCACCCUUGCUAUUCCUUUCUAACCAUUUCAGAAAGGCUGAAAGAUAAGAUGAUUGAUUGAGAUUGUGGAUAAGGCUAAUGCUAGGCGAGGAGACAGAGUUGAGGAUCCAGUGGUCGAGGAGUAUUCAGGAAAGUUGAUAAGGUUGGUGCUAGCUAGAGUUAUGCUAUGAAGUUUCAGAUGUAAGUCAUGGCUGGAGUAAGUUGACAGUGAUUCUUCUUAUCGAAGAUGAUCUGAUUUGGUAAGGGAUGUUGUGUAGUAUUAGUGGUGGAUUCUAAUUUCAAUACUGUAACCUGGAAGCGAUCCUGUUGUUUUUGGGGGUUAAAAUGUUCUCUUUCGAAUCAGCUAUUAAAGUUUAAAUGUUCUCUGAAAAGUUCUUUUAUGAUGGUUUUCAAAUUUAAAAUUCAGGUUUUGAAAUCAUUUGAUUUAUGUUCUCAUACAAAUCUUUUAUUAAAUGUUUCAAGUUUUAAAUUCUUGUGGAUUUUCAUUAUCUUUAAUAAAAAUACAGGGUUUCACAAGUGUUUUAAAAAGGGUUUUGUGUGGUGACGUCAGAAUCCAGACCCCCGGAUUCCUGGACUGUCACAGUUGGUAUCAGAGCAACAGGUUAUAAGUAUUUGAAAUUAGAAUAUAGAUCAUAGUUAUAGGUUUUCUAGAGAAGAAUGUUGGGUGACCUCGGAUAGAGGUAUUGUGAGACUAUUUAGAAAUAGUCUAGGGAUGUGAUAGAGAAAUAGAAUCUAGUUAAAUGAUUAAGUUGAGUGCAUAAGUUUAAAGAGAUUUUGAUUCCUAAGUUAGACAUAUGAUUUUUAGUAUGUUGACUAAUUGAGAUGAUGAAUUGUGAGAAAGGUCAGUAUUAGACCUAUACAGAAGAGUUUGAUAAUGAAUGACUGAGUUGAAAAUGGUGAAAAUGCAGAGUUCAGAGUAUUCUGACUAUACUGCAUAUUUGAAAUUAGAUUAUUGUAUUGAUUUGAGGAUGAUAUAAAUGCAUGGUUCAUAGUAUGUUGACCAUGUCAGAUAUUUGAAAGAUGUAUAUUGUUUUGGAGUGAAGAUAUGAACAGUAAGUGUAGAGUAUGAGUUGUAUUGGAUUAGAAGGAGAGAUUGGUAGAUAGAGGUUGAUAGGUGAGAAGUGAAUGAUAGAGAGUACGUGGAAUUGAGUCCAGUUAUUAGAGAUGAUGUCUACAAGUAAGUUAGAACGUUAGUUCUCGACGACUACGCUUUAAGUUAAGCGGGACAAGGUGGGCCCAUAACCCACAGGUUGACGAGUCAGAAAAUAGAAGAUACGCUACGUGUCGUGCUAUGGAAUUCAAAGGCAACUGGAUGAAACAUGAGAACGUGAACUACUUGGGCCAGACUUAUUAUGAACUAUAACGUCUACGAUGACAUCUUACGAGGCUAUUACGAGUCAACAUCGAUCGAUUAUCGAGAACGUUGAAAAGAAGACAUAUAUCGAACAAUGAUUUAUUGAAGCAGAGUGAAAAUCUGAGAAGACCUUGGCAAUACCUCUCUUCAACUAAGAUUCUUUUGGAUUGUUUUUCUCAUCAGUGAGAUAUUAUCAUGAUAUCCUUUCGACCAAAGUUUCGAUAAAUGAGAUUUUCAAUUUCUCAAAUUCUAAGAUGACAUUAAUAUUGAUUAUUGGUGUGAGUUGGUAUUGAUUCAAGAUGUGUGAUAAAGGUUUGUUGUGAAGAGACAGUGAUGUUCCUUGAGAUAGUUUGACAUUUCUUGACAUCCUUGAUAUUCUUUCAUCUUCUUUGAUAUCCCUUGAUGUUCUUUAAUAGUUGCAAUUCUUUGACAUUCUUUGAUAUUCUCGAUAUUCUUUGACAUUCUUUGAUAUUCCUUAAUAUAUUCCUCGAUAAUCCUUAACAUUCCUUGAUGCUCCUUGAGAUUUCUUGGAUUCUUUCCAUCUGAUUGGGAUGAACAACCCUAUGUAUAGGGGACACAAGGUAUACCUGUCUGUGUGAUAGGAGUUGGAUGGGACGCCAUCACUUGUGUGUGUUGUGAUUACAAGAAGGUUAACAACCUUUAGUAGUGUCUAAUAUGGACACGCAACAUUAAGUUCAUUUGAUCGUAUUGAUCUCCCAGUCACUCUUGUAUUCCAAUGUGACCUAUUUUGAAAACAGCUUGUUCCUCCAAAAUUCUCAAAAAUUGAUUCUUGAGAAAUGAAUUCUGCAAUUGUGAAAGUGUUGAUAUUCCUAUUUCUUUAAAAUUGAAGGUAUGCCAAGGUUGAUUAAGGGCGGAUGAGCAUGUGAUGUUAUGAAACGUGUACAAUGAUUUUACAAAUGAUAUGUUUUAGUUUCUUCGGAGGAUUCCGAGGACGGAAUCCUUAUAAGGGGGGUAGAAUGUAAUAUCCCGUAUUAUUAAAUUUAGAUUUGAUUAUUAUAAAUCUAUUUGUCUAAAUAUAAUUGUUGGCUUUAAUGGAAUAGUGAUCUGAUUAUGUGAAUAGUGUGUAUGUGAUUAUACUUGUUAUGUGGAUUAAUAUGGAUUUUACAGAUUAUGCGUCCUCCUUCUUUCUCUGAUUCCGAGGACGGAAUCCCUAUAAGGAGGGUAGAUUGUAAUGACCCGGAUUUUUAAAAAUAUUUUUAUUAGUAUUAAAAGUGAUUUUCUUCAAAGAAGGGAAUAAGAUUUAAUAUUUUAUUCCAGUUUAAUGAGUUUUCAAGGUUUUAUAUUUAAACCCCGGGUUAUUGUGUUAUUGAUAAAUAAUUGUAUUUUCAAAACUGAUUUUCAUAUAUUGUUUUGAAAAUUCUGUAUGAAUAUUAUGUGAAUAUAUGUGUUAUGUGAUUAAGUGGUAUUGGUGAAUUUGUUUGUUAAUUAGUUAUGAUUAAUUAUUAAUAUUAUAUGAUUAAUAUAUGAAUUUUUGUGAAUUUUGUGUUAUCUAGUUUAUUGAGCUGAAUGCUCGUAUGUGUUCGUAUUCGCGAGAUUUCAAUUUCUAUAUGCUCAGGAGAAAAUAUAGUUUAUUUGGAUAUUUUCAUAUCGAUUUAUGGAAUGUUAGAUGAUUUUAUAAUCGAUUUACGGAUUUAAUUGCGUAUAUUUAUAUUUAUUUAUUAAUUAUUUGACUUCCGUAAAACCGUCCACUCGUAACGAGGUAGCAAAUUUUCUUCCCGGAAGUUUCAACAAAACUCACCUUUAGCCUAAUUUGAAUAUUCCGGACACUUUUCGUGUUUUGACUUUUUCGAUCCGGAGUACGGUUUUCCCCGGAGUCGGUCCGGCGGAGUUUUUCGGGUAUUUUAAUUGUUGAUAAUUAUCCAGUUUGUCUCGAUAUACGUGAAAGCCAGAUAUUUUGAUUAUUAUAUUACUUUUUAUCGAAAUACGUGCAAAUGGGACCCCCAGACCAAUGAUUGAUUUAUAAUGCCCCGUUUUGAUGAUUAUCUCGAAAACCGGUACCGAUUGGACCCCGCUUUACUAAUAUAAAGCUAUUAAAUAUCGUAUUUUCAUGUCAUAAACGAUCCAAAGGGGUACCAAUUAUUUGUAAAUAUAAAUAGCCCUUUCUACACCUUAUUUUCAACCGUAAAUCAUUUCACCAGUUUCUUUUCACGAAUACCGAGAGAAACCGAGCUGCGUUCUUCGUGUUCUUCGUAAUCAAACGAGGAUUUGAAGGUGUUAUUGGAAUCCGAUGGAGGUGUAUGAAUAGUCAAAACGAAGCUAUCGACGCGUAGAAUCUAUUACUAUCAGUGGUUUCAGUGCAGAAUCGACAGGUUUUUGCUAAUUAAGGUUUUUAAUUUCGAAUUUAUAUGAUUUAAAUGAUGAAUUUUUGAAAACGUGAUUGUUUAAUUGUUUUGAUGAUUCUAUGAUGUAGAGCAUGUUUUUCUCGUCGUUUUGGUAUAUUAUAUGUCAAAAACGGAGUUCAAUAACAUGUAGAAAAGUCAGUUUGAUUAUUGAAACUGUUGUUCUUGGUGUUCUUGAGAAAGCUCGCCGGAAAAUUCUUGUUUUGGUCGGGAUUUUGAUUCGUUAAACCUGGGCAGAAGCUAAGCAUACCAUUGAAUAGAUCUUUGAGAGUAUAAUUGAGUGGUGGUGUCAGUUUGUUCAAAGGAGGCGAAACGAGUUCGCCGGAAAAUGGAGAAGUCGGCGGUGGCGCCGACCUUCAACCGGGUUUUACGGCAAAUUGGUGAAGUGCUUGUGAAAUCUGAAAAUACGAGUGGAUUGCUGGACAUCUGUAGAGUAUAUCUGCAGCUGGUGGUCGAGUUCUGGGCUCGAUGGAGCCUCCGGCGACGUCUCCGACGUCGUUCGGCGACGGUAGGGGGUGAUGACUGUAUAAUUACAGUUUAACCCCCGAACAAAUGAAGGUGGUGACUUUUAGUCACCCGAGUUUCAAAUCUUUCAAAACAAACCCUGAUACUUCGAAAACUUGCACUUUCAACCCUGCGUUUAAACUUUUGAAUAGUAACAAUUAAAACCUUUUCAAUUAUUUUUCAAAAAUUAUUUUUUUGGUCAUUUUUUUAUAGUUUUUAAUUAUUUCUUUAUUCAAAAACAAAUCGAAAUUAGUUUAUUAAUUAAUUUCAAUUGGUAAUUAAUUAUAUUAAUUGAUCAAUUAAUUUAAAUAUUAAUUGAUUAAUUAAUUUAAUUAGUUAUUAAUUGAUUUUAAUUGAUUAAUUAAUUGGAUUUAAUUAUCCUUUUUGAUUUAAAAAUUCCGAAAAAUAGUUUCGAGCUUUAAAAUAUUUUUCCAAAUCAUGUUCAAGGCUCGACAAUUGUUUAUGAAUGAUUUCAAGUCCAGUUUUGAGCAUCCGGACUUGAUUAUUUAUUUGAAAAAUGAUUCUUUUAUCCGUUUUAAUUCCGAAAAUGUUUAAAAAUUCCAGAAAAUUCCCGAAAAAAAAUCAUUUUUAACCCAAGAGUGAUUUGAUAUCAAUUGGGGUGGGAAACCUUAUAUGUAAUGUGUUAUCUGCUUUGUGUGUGAUGUGUUAUAUGUUGAUAGUGGAGUCAGAAAACGGCUUAGAUCAUAACUUUUGAUCUGUAAGUCGGAAUCAAGUGAAACGAAAGAGAGAUAGAAGCUCGUGAAGUCUAUUUUAAUAUGACAAGAUAAUAUGAUUGAAUCUAGAAUGUGAUUAUAUGCUAUGUAAUAUGCAAUAUGUAACCAUACGUGAUUUGUUUGUUAUGAAUUGAUGAUUACGUGAUAUAUGUGGUUAUUCCUAAUAUAGUACAUAUGUGAUAAAUGACUUAUAUGACAUAGUGUCAUGAUUUGAUAAGAACAUAUGGAUUAUAGGAAUUGGAAUUGGUUGAUUGGUUGUUGGUUGGGAAUAGGUUGACAGGUGGAUAGUCUUAUAACUAGACAAGAUGCUGGCAGAUUUUCGAUAUGAUUUAUAUGAUUAUUGAUUAUAACAUGUUAUGUAGAAUAUGACUUGACUAUAUGAUAAAGUCAAAGAAUGAUUAUGUGCUAAGUGAUAUGUGAUAAGUUUAAAGGGGUAUAUAAGUGGGUAUCGAUAUACGUGAUAUGUAUAUGCGAUAUAUUGUUUAGUGACUAUAGUAUUAUCUUAUUCUCGUAAAGGAUUUGGACGAGACGUGUACGCUCGAAGACGUCAGAAAGUCGGAAUGGUAUUGCAAAGCGAAUAAGGGAUGAAUCGAGUAAGCGAAGCGAUGUGGCGAAUAGAGUAUAGCUAGAGAUGGUCUAGAGAUUACGAGAUGCAUAGAUUGUGAAAGUUGAAAGAUGAGAAUGAGCUGUGAAACUGGAGUCAGAUUUAAGGCAAGUAUCCUAUACCCUUCUUUUGGAUAUCUUGCGAUUAUUCUGAUCCAUUCUUUUCGUAUGUGUUGCAAAUAUUCGUUCUUCUCUUUUCCAUAUUUGAAACUGUAAAUAUUUUAUCCAUCCUUUUCUAAUCCUCAAAAAAUACAGAUAAUUCCAGUUUUACAAAUUAAUUCGAAGUUCAGAUUGUCAUUGAAGCAUGUGUUGCUCAAUGAUGGUUAGAACCUAGAAUGACUUGGGAUCUUCUUGAUUAUUCAACCCGCCAUUGUCAUGCUGGUUUAGCAGGCUAAAUUCAGUUGCUUAGCCGAUAAUGGAGGAUACUGAAUAGUUAAGGAUUUCCUGAACUAUGAUUUAUGAAAGGAUGGACUCUGGUUUUGGUUGGAUGUCUUAUGUGUCGAUAUAAUAGUGAGAAAACGGUUUUAAACAUAUCUUUUGAUCCGUAAGUCGGAAUCGAGUGAAACGGAAGAGAGAUGAAAGCUUAUAAAGUCUAGUUUGAUAUGACAUAAUAAUAUGAUGGAGUCGAGAAUGUGAAUAAUUGUUGAUUAAUGUGCACAAUGUGAUUAUAUGUUAUUUGAUUGCUAUUAAUUGAUGAGUACGUGAUAUAUAUGUCUAUUCCUGAUAUUAUAUAUGUGAUAAAUGACUUAUAUGACAUAGUGUCAUGAUUUGAUUAAUAUUGGAUAAGAACAUAUGGAUUAUGGUGAUUGGAUUUGGUUGGUUGAUUGUUGAUGGAGAUAGGAUAACAUGUGGAUAGUCUAAUAAAUAGACGAGAUGCUGUCAAAUUUUCGAUAGGACUUAUAUGAUAAGUGAUUUGUGAUAUGUUAUGUGGAAUAUGACUUGACUAUAUGGUAGAGUCAAAGCAUGAUUACGUGUUAAGUGAUAUGUGAUAAGUUUAAAGGGGUAUAUAAGUGGGUAUCGAUAUGCGUGAUAUGUAUAUACGAUCGAUUGAUUAGUGAUUAUAUUAUUAUCUUAUUCUCGUUAAGGAUUGGACGAGACGUGGAUGACCGAAGACGUUCAGAAGGACAAGUGGUGUUCCAAAGCGAAUAAAGAAUGAGUCGAGUAAGCGAAGUGCUGUGGCGAAUAGAGUAUAGCUAGAGAUGGUCUAGAGAUUAUAAGAUGCAUAUAUUGUGAAAGUGGAAAGUUGAGAAUGAGCUGUGAGACGGGAGUCAGAUUUAAGGCAAGUAUCCUAUACCCUUCUUUUGGAUAUCUUGCGAUUAUUCUGAUCCAUUAUUCUCGUAUGUGUUGCAAAUAUUCGUUCCUCUCUUUUUCAUAUUUGGCAAGUGCAAAUAUUUUUAUCCAUCCUUUUCUAAUCCUCAAAAAUUCAGAUAAUUCCAGUUUUACAAAUUAAUUCGAAGUUCAGAUUGUCAUUGAAGCAUGUGUUGCUCAGUGAUGAUUAGAACCUAGAAUGACUUGGGAUCUUCUUGAUUAUUCAACCCGCCAUUGUCAUGCUGGUUUAGCAGGCUAAAUUCAGUUGCUUAGCCGAUAAUGGAGGAUACUGAAUAGUUAAUCUUGUUUAUUCACCCCGCCAUUGUCAUGCUGGUUUAGCAGGCUAAAUUCAGUUGCUUAGCCGAUAAUGGAGGAUACUGAAUAGUUAAGGAUUUCCUGAACUAUGAUUUAUGGAAGGAUGGACUCUGGUUUAUGAAAAGUUGAUUAUCAAAGUUUGAUUUGGAAUUAUUCUAUCAUUGAUAUUGAUUGUGUUUAUGUUCUGUUGUUAUACGUUGACCUGUUAUUGAAUUAUAGAAUUGGAUUAUUGUUUUUAUAUAAACCUGUGGACCAGAUUCGUGGUCAUGUUAGGCCAAUGAGUGCCUUGGAUCCAGUGAUAGAGCAUGGCGGGGCCUGCUCGGGGUUAGUGCGGAACUGAUCAGCUGCCUAACCUUGGUUUUAAUUAAAAUGUAAUAGUCCAAUUCAAUAAUUCUUUGGAAAGAUUGAAUUUCUCAGUUUAAAUGAUGCAAGGUAUUGUAAAUCAUUCUAUACAAUACCAUGAACUCAUGAACUCAGGUUGAAUUCUCUUAUAUCUUGAACUCGUGAACUUCUGUUAUAUCAUUUCAGAACUAUCAUUGUUUAUUAUUACUUGCUGAGCAUUGUUGCUCACCCUUGCUAUUCCUUUCUAACCAUUUCAGAAAGGCUGAAAGAUAAGAUGAUUGAUUGAGAUUGUGGAUAAGGCUAAUGCUAGGCGAGGAGACAGAGUUGAGGAUCCAGUGGUCGAGGAGUAUUCAGGAAAGUUGAUAAGGUUGGUGCUAGCUAGAGUUAUGCUAUGAAGUUUCAGAUGUAAGUCAUGGCUGGAGUAAGUUGACAGUGAUUCUUCUUAUCGAAGAUGAUCUGAUUUGGUAAGGGAUGUUGUGUAGUAUUAGUGGUGGAUUCUAAUUUCAAUACUGUAACCUGGAAGCGAUCCUGUUGUUUUUGGGGGUUAAAAUGUUCUCUUUCGAAUCAGCUAUUAAAGUUUAAAUGUUCUCUGAAAAGUUCUUUUAUGAUGGUUUUCAAAUUUAAAAUUCAGGUUUUGAAAUCAUUUGAUUUAUGUUCUCAUACAAAUCUUUUAUUAAAUGUUUCAAGUUUUAAAUUCUUGUGGAUUUUCAUUAUCUUUAAUAAAAAUACAGGGUUUCACAAGUGUUUUAAAAAGGGUUUUGUGUGGUGACGUCAGAAUCCAGACCCCCGGAUUCCUGGACUGUCA